rnacentral:rRNA from 1 species
GACGAACGCUGGCGGCGUGCUUAACACAUGCAAGUCGAGCGGUAAGGCCCUUUCGGGGGUACACGAGCGGCGAACGGGUGAGUAACACGUGGGUGACCUGCCCUCAGCUCUGGGAUAAGCCUGGGAAACUGGGUCUAAUACCGGAUAUGACUCCAUGACGCAUGUUGGUGGGGUGGAAAGCCUUGUGCGGCUGAGGAUGGGCCCGCGGCCUAUCAGCUUGUUGGUGGGGUGAGGCCUACCAAGGCGACGACGGGUAGCCGGCCUGAGAGGGCGACCGGCCACACUGGGACUGAGACACGGCCCAGACUCCUACGGGAGGCAGCAGUGGGGAAUCUUGCGCAAUGGGCGAAAGCCUGACGCAGCGACGCCGCGUGAGGGAUGACGGCCUGGUUGUAACUACUUCUAGCUCCGACGACGACGAGAGUGACGGUAGGAG